UUAUAUUCAGCUCCUUUACUGUGUUGCUUCGCCUACUCCUUCUCAAUGGCUGCUCUUGGAAAUCUUUAAUUUGUGCUUCUUUUGCUAUGGGUGAUAUACCCCUUACCUCGAUUGGAUCCAGUAUUUUGUCUUUCAGAUUGUGAGAAUGUGAUCUCUAAAGUGAGGGUAUACAUGAUGCUCAAACCCACGUGUAGUUGACAAAAACCAAAAGGAUUACCUCAUGAAAGAGUACGACCAAGUUCGAUUCAUGGCCUCCGAGUGCCACACUAAAUACUAUGGUGUUCUUCCGAGAAUGAAGAUGCUUCUGGAGAGAGGAAUAUACUUGGAGAAAGUAUAAAAAAUCUUCCAAAAUUUCAUGAUAUACUUGUGGCCAAUGGGUGGUGAUGCUUCGCCUCGGAUCCUUGCAAAGCAAAUGAGCAGUGGUUCCGGGAGUUCUAUGCUAACCUUAGCAUAGCAUCUUUCUUAGAACCAUCCACCAUGAUGAUCAAGAUCCAGGGAAAGGUGGUAGACUUUAGGGUAGAGCAAAUCAAUGAUCUAUAUGGGCUCCUAAACGCAAACAUAGCCGACUUUGAGGCUAAGGGGUAUGAGCCGGGCAGCUGGUUGGCGGAGAGAUUAUGCCCGGGAAAGAAAGUCUUUUGUGCAGAUACCAAAAGAAAUAUAUCAAUAAAUGAUUUCACUGUCGAGGACCGGGUUUGGUUGAACAUCAUCUGUAGCCGAGUCUCUCCUUACACCCACAUGACAGUUGUUCCAGACAUGCAGGCUUGGAUGGUUGCUUGCAUUUUAGGAGGCAUUUCUUUAAAUAUCAGUCAGCUCAUGGUCUCAGACAUGAAAUUAUUGAGGAACCAUGAUAGUACGCGUCUCUCCUUCACCUUUUUGAUUACUGAGCUUUACAGGAGAACAGAGGUCGAGGAGUACUUUGGAGAUACAUGGGUACGCCUAGGAACCCCCAUCUAUCCUCUAAAAAUUUAAGGUGAGGGCACACCCGUCAAGAGCAAAAAGAAGAAGAUCAGCUUGGACAAGUAACAGUUGAGGAGUCAGAGUCUUGCAGACCAUCCGCCGCCAACCCCUUUGAUAAUAUUUUUGAUAAGAUGAGGGUCAUCAAGGAACUUGUGUCGGUAUUUUUUCCCAGAGGCCGGGAGAGCCCUCUACUGGCUGCCACUCAUAUGUGUUCCACUCUGAUUAUGAGAGGUAUCAAAAGUACCAGAAGAAGCAGGUAACUACGACUUGAGAGAGCCUACUUAUCCUUGGAAGAGUCGCACCGAGAUCUUCGAGCCUCGCAUGACAAGAUGAUUAAAAGGGAGAACAAGAGAGAAAAAUUCUUUAAUAAGAUUUGGAAAGGGGUAAAGGGCCUUUGGAAGGUCCUAAAACCCUGAGACAUACUACCUUCCUCCCAAUUUGAGAGCGAUGAUGAGUCCCCAGCUGAGUGGUCAGGUCCUGAGGAUGCAGAUGAUGAUACAGAGUUUGAGGGCGAGAGUAACUCUUGAUGCGAUUUCAAGGAGCACCCUUAUUUCUUCUUAUGCUUUAUUAUUUAUGUAGUGAGGACAUUACAAACUUUUUUGUUAGGGGUGAUUGUCUCCACAUUUAUUUAUUUGGGCCUGUAUUAUUGAUAUUUCUAAAUAUUUUGAUGUUAUUUUAGAUGUUUUUUAUUU